GCGCCCGUAGCUCAGCUGGAUAGAGUACUCGGCUACGAACCGAGCGGUCGGAGGUUCGAAUCCUUCCGGGCGCG
rnacentral:tRNA from 1 species